rnacentral:lncRNA from 1 species
CAGAGGUGCUCAAGCAAAGGACUGUGACCUCUUGGUUUUGUUGGAGUAGAGCACUGUUAAGGUCCCUUCCAAUUUGUUACACAUGCCACAAGCAGAUGUGUAAGUGUGAUUUCUGUCCAUAAGGAUGGCAUCCGUGUUGGAGAACCUCCUAUUUCUAUUUUUCCCAGCUGGGGUGGGAUGAGCCAUCUACUGAAUCCUGAAGGGUGUGGCAGCUCAGCCGGUUCCUGUACCAAUCAGGUUUGUCUUGGGGAAGGCAGUGAGGAAACCUAGGCCUGAGGCAAGGGAGCAAGGCCUGUUGCCCAUUUCCAGUGAACCCAGAUCAGCCCAGGUGCUUUGCCCCAACUGCACCCACCAUGCCCAGUCCUCCUUCCACAGGCUUUUCUUCAUGGUGGAGCUAGAGCCCAUCUAGCCCAGCAUGCUCAUCAACCCCUGCCAGUACCUGGAUUCCCUGCAGUACCAUGUGUGGAAGAAGAUGAUCAGUUCCAUCAAAUCUGUGCCCUUCAGCUUCUAUCCCAACACUGCAGCAGGCUGGCUCUCGGUGUCUGAUGACCUCACCAGCGUCACCAACCAUGGCUAC